CCCGAGGCUCUGUCUGGCAAGACCAGAAGCUCUGCACCUAGCAGAUGCCGCCAUAGUCCCGAGGCACCGUCUGGCAAGGCUGCCCUCACGGCAAAACAGGUUUAAUUUUGGCAGACGCCUUUCGUCAAGCAUGGUACUUCGGGCAAAUCAACCCAUCUGAAGUGCGAUACAAA
rnacentral:lncRNA from 1 species